CCUCAUCUUCCAGGUCUGAGAAACAGGGCUUAACAGCACCCAGCACCUUCUUCCUGCAAUCACGGCAGCCUUCUCUUUGUUCAGACCUCCAAGCUUGCUCUGCUGCAGGCCCUUUGCAUUCUUGGCCCCUGCUUCUGGGAGUGUCCUUCUGCCAGCAACUCCUGGCACCUGCCAACCCCUUCUUGUCACUCUUCUCCUUUGAGGGACUUCCUCUCAUCUCCUAAUAGUACUUCUCCAGCCCGGAAAUUGGCCUGUUUCACUUCCUCCAAAGCACUGGACAGUAACUGACAUUUUGUCAUCGACUUUUGUUUCCACGAGACUGGAGGGGACUUAAAGGUGAGGAAUUUGUCUCCUCUGUCCUGUGUCACUGUGGCAUGAAGCCAUGGAAAAUGCCUGCAGCCCACCAUCCUGGGGCCAGAUGUGAACUGAUGUCCCUUAGCACUGUCCAGGUAACCCGAGAGGGCAAUUACAUGGAGAAGGAAGAUGUGGAUACGAGCAGCAGUGGUGAGCAAGCAAGUUGGUCAACAAAGAAAAAUCCAAGUAAGCAUCAUUGUAAAACAAAUCACACUAGUAUUGACUAGUAUCAAGUGGGUUUAAAACAAGCUGCAACUAAGACACUGCAUGGUAACAGGUUGGCGGCAGGAUUUCCACGAGGUUCAUCUCUUCUUUGGCUUUCUCCCCCAAGCAUAUCUGAGAGCGGUUGAAGACAAGACAGGCCACCUCAACACCUGAGGGCAGCGGAGGGAAACCCUGGUUCCACCUUCUGGGACCAGAGGGUCCCCCCUGCUCCUCUGCAGCUGUCCAGGUUCCUCCCGGCUGCAUCCGACCACCCCUUCUGGUGUGGUGGUGGGGGGGGGGCACCCACCGUACUG